rnacentral:rRNA from 1 species
GACGAACGCUGGCGGCGUGCUUAACACAUGCAAGUCGAACGGAAAGGCCCUGCUUUUUUGGGGUUCUCGAGUGGCGAACGGGUGAGUAACACGUGAGUAACCUGCCCUUGACUUUGGGAUAACUUCAGGAAACUGGGGCUAAUACCGGAUAGGAGCUCCUGCUGCAUGGUGGGGGUUGGAAUGUUUCGGCGGUUGGGGAUGGACGCGCGGCUUAUCAGCUUGUUGGUGGGGUAGUGGCUUACCAAGACGUGGACGGGUAGCCGGCAUGAGAGGGUGACCGGCGACCAGGGGACUGAGAUACGGAGCAGUCUCCAACGGGAGGCAGCAGUGGGGAACAUUGCACAAUGGGGGGAAGCCUGAUGCAGCAGCGCCCCGUGCGGGAUGACGGCCUACGGGUUGUAAACCGAUUUCGCCUAUGACGAAGCGUGAGUGACGGUAAUGGGUAAAGAAGCACCGGCUAACUACGUG